rnacentral:rRNA from 1 species
UACGUAGGGGGCGAGCGUUGUCCGGAAUUAUUGGGCGUAAAGAGCUCGUAGGCGGUGUGUCAAGUCGAUCGUGAAAACUUGGGGCUUAACUCUGAGCUUGCGGUCGAUACGGGCAUCACUGGAGUUCGGCAGGGGAGACUGGAAUUCCUGGUGUAGCGGUGAAAUGCGCAGAUAUCAGGAGGAACACCGGUGGCGAAGGCGGGUCUCUGGGCCGAUACUGACGCUGAGGAGCGAAAGCGUGGGGAGCGAACAGG